AGUAUAAUGUUAACUUUGAAACUGCGAAUGGCUCAUUAUAUCAGUUAUAGUUUAUUUGAUGAAGAAUACUAAUUGGAUAACCGUAGUAAUUCUAGAGCUAAUACAUGUAUAAAGUCUUGUAGACUGCAUUUAUUAGAAUGAAAACCAUAGGUUUCGGCCUAUUCGUGAGUAAUAAUAACUAAUCAUAUCGUAUGCUUACGUAACGAUGUGUCUUUCAAGUUUCUGCCCUAUCAGCUUUCGAUGGUAGUGUAUUGGACUACCAUG
rnacentral:rRNA from 1 species